rnacentral:Y_RNA from 1 species
GGCUGGUCCGAUGGUAGUGGGUUAUCAGAACUUAUUAACAUUAGUGUCACUAAAGUUGGUAUACAACCCCCACUGCUAAAUUUGACAGGCUUUUA